GCCACUUCCGGGCUGGGGUCAUCCAAGAGGCCCCUCCAAAGAGCCUACUGGAGCUAUGGGCAGCACUUAACCCAGUAGCUGCAGGGAUCAUGUUUCUGAAAGGCCACUCUAAGCACUGCCUUGGGCCGACCAUCAGGACCCACCGGGAAGAAGCCUACCGGCGCAAUAGGCCGCGACGUAAAAAAAAGAGAGAGAGAGAGAGAGAGAAAAUCAUCACUCAGGCAAGCCAUUUUAUAAUUUAUAUCAAUGCAUUUGUGAUCAGUUUAUGCAUCAUCUAUUUAGGCCCGUCGCUGCUACACGGUAAAGCCACAAAUUUUGCCUGUCACUGGUACACGGUUAAAAAAAGAUUAUUGAGAGAGUAAUUUUGUUUGUUCCAGGCUACGUGAUAUUCCUCACCACGGACCAAACUGUCGGUGACUGGGUGCUGGGGGAAGUGACGGGGGACUGGCUCACCCUCACCGUCCAUGGACUGACGCCUUCAAGGAAGUAUUUGCACAAGAUGCACUCUCACAAUGUCAAAGGUUUUGGUCCAUUCUCCUCCGUGGAAAGCUUCACGACUUCCAGCUGUUGACAAGAGCAUCGGUGAGCCCCCAGGCUGGUGUGUGGAGCAAGAGGCCUGAUUGUGCUAGUGAUCGCUGGAGUGGCAGGAGCCAUGACCAGCUGGGGGCCUUCUUGGCCACCACACUGUACUGCCGCGGGUCAAGGCGGAGCCCAGGCCAAGCAUUGUUGUUGGCGGCAGCUGCAGUGAGAGCAACAAGCCUGGCGUCCAGCCUCCAGACCUGUGGAUCCAUCACGGCCACUUGAGCUGAAGAACUUUGACAAGGGUGAGCGCAGCAACUCCCCCAACCACGCCUCCAUCAUCCAGCACACAGGUGGGUGUCUUUGUCAGUCAUUGAACAGUGUGCAGCUCAUGGGAGUCCUGUCAUUUGUGUGGUAUUUUUUGUAAUAUUUGGUUGUUGGUGUUUUGUUGCCAGUCACUGCUGCGUUGUAGUGUGCCAGUGACGCCACACACAACCUUACACAACCCCCGGACACUCCAGUAUGAGA